GGGUGUAUAGUUCAGUUGGCAGAGCAUUGGGCUUUUUACCUAAUGGUCGCCGAUUCAAGUCCUGCUAUACCCA
rnacentral:tRNA from 1 species